GAGCUAAGUAAGUGACCUGCGGAGGAUCAUUACCUAGAGUUGCGGGCUUUGCCUGCUAUCUCUUACCCAUGUCUUUUGAGUACCUUCGUUUCCUCGGCGGGUUCGCCCGCCGAUUGGACAAUUUAAACCAUUUGCAGUUGCAAUCAGCGUCUGAAAAAACUUAAUAGUUACAACUUUCAACAACGGAUCUCUUGGUUCUGGCAUCGAUGAAGAACGCAGCGAAAUGCGAUAAGUAGUGUGAAUUGCAGAAUUCAGUGAAUCAUCGAAUCUUUGAACGCACAUUGCGCCCCUUGGUAUUCCAUGGGGCAUGCCUGUUCGAGCGUCAUUUGUACCUUCAAGCUCUGCUUGGUGUUGGGUGUUUGUCUCGCCUCUGCGCGCAGACUCGCCUCAAAACAAUUGGCAGCCGGCGUAUUGAUUUCGGAGCGCAGUACAUCUCGCGCUUUGCACUCAUAACGACGACGUCCAAAAGUACAUUUUUACACUCUUGACCUCGGAUCAGGUAGGGAUACCCGCUGAACUUAAGCAAUAAAGGGGG
rnacentral:rRNA from 1 species